UACGGAGGAUCCGAGCGUUAUCCGGAUUUAUUGGGUUUAAAGGGAGCGUAGGUGGAUUGUUAAGUCAGUGGUCAAAUUGCGGGGCUCAACCCCGUACUGCCGUUGAAACUGCAUCCCUUGAGUGCGCGAGAAGUAUGCGGAAUGCGUGGUGUAGCGGUGAAAUGCAUAGAUAUCACGCAGAACUCCGAUUGCGAAGGCAGCAUACCGGCGCUCAACUGACGCUCAUGCACGAAAGCGUGGGUAUCGAACAGG
rnacentral:rRNA from 1 species